AGGGGAUGUAGCUCAGUGGUAGAGCGUUCGCUU
rnacentral:sRNA from 1 species